rnacentral:misc_RNA from 1 species
CUUUUCGAUGCCUCAUCCUUAUAUCUCCUCUCCCCCUAUUUCUCCCUAUCAGAACUUGACCCAUAAAAAUAUUUUUAUUGAAUCAAAUCAAACUUGUAAGUAUAAAAGCUCACUAUUCUCAAAUCCUCCUCAAACAAUUGGGAUUGCAAAUUGCUUUUUUUACUUGGAAUCCACAACAUUCAUCCCUUUAUUCACAUACACACUCAAACUCACCUCCCUCAUAUACCUUUGUCAUGGCCGUUAGGUUAUAGCCACUGGAAACUCCAUUAUCACUAUCUCCACCACUCUUGCCACUACAACUACAUCCUAUAGCAAUUAAACAACUUUUAGAAAAUGAGAAUGCCACCCCAUUUUUGGCAAUUUCCUACUUCUCUAAUUCCUGUCAACAACCACAAUUAUCCAAUUCAUCAAUUAUACAAUUACAAUUUCAUCAUUUACUGAUUUAAAAUGCAAAGGAAAAUAAUGAUAACACAGAUAACCAUUAAUGGUACAACAAUUUACUAUUGAAUUCCAGCAAGAUUAUUCCCACAGGGAAGCUUAUUUCCCUUACUCAGUGAUCCUCGACCUCAUCCAAAAUCCAAGGCAAGAAAGCAGAGGAAGACGAUAAGUGACUAAGAUCACCAAAACCCACAACAAAAAUCAUUGGAAUUACUUUGUAAAAAUCAAAGAUGCUUAAAUCUCAAGACCCUGUCAUUUGUAUAAAGUGAAGCAAUCUAGACAAAAUCCUUGUAAUUGUAUCCUCUAGUUUGAUUUCCAAAACUAAAACCUAAACUAUAAUCCACCAACAAUUAUUACAAGAAAUGAACUCCUGUGGGUUGCGGUGAAGGAGGAAAAGAGACUACAAAACCCAUCAAAUAUUAGUGUAAACAACAUCAAGAAUCGUUCUCCUUUCUUUCUCCUCCUUGCCAUCUAUCUUCUUUUCUCCUGCGCGCUGCCUUUCCUCUAUUCCCUUACCGUCGAUUUCGAUAGUCCCUCCUCCUUUCUUAGUCACCAAUGGUGAUGGGUAACGGGAUGGGCUUUUGGGUUGUGUGAUAUUAGAGUGGAAAAUGGAUUGGGAACUUGAUGAGAGAAAAAUUAUGAGAAUGAUAGGUCUAAUGUUUAAUAGAAAAUUGGGAGAGAGAAUUUGUGUAGUGCCUCUUUUUU